AAACUACUCGACAUCUUUUGCCGGUACGGAUUUCCCGCACAGCUGAUCACCGACAACGCAACCUACUUUACAAUCAGCACCACCGUGAUCGGGAUCUUCGUCUGGCUGAGCUGGCGUUCGCUACACGGACGACGGUCAACAGGUCUACAGGCUUCACCCCGGCGUUCCUUAACUUGGGAUGGGAGGCCCCUUUUCCAGUGGAGAAUGCUCUAGGCCUCCGGGAUGGUGCUACCAGGCCUCCUUAUUGAAGGUUUGCUGAGAACCUCCGGAGUCGACUGGACGGUGCAGCCCGGACGGCUCGGGAGAACCUGGACGUCGCAAGGUUGGACCAGGCUCGCCAGUACAACCGUGGACGUCGGAACCUCACCUACAGCGUCGGUGACCUCGUCCUUCGACGGACUCACCCGCUAAGUGAUGCGUCUCGAGGCUUUGCAGCUUCACUCGCAGAAAGGCUUCGUCGCUGCGACACCAGCGAAGAGACUGGGCCAGUUCACAUCUUGGACCUGAAGUCUUACCACCUCCGAGACCCUGACGAAGAGGAGCCCGAUUUGCAACCUGCCUCCAUCCAGGACCCGGAUCCCGUUCCCGGACCUGCGUCCAGGCGCCUCAACUUGCGUCCCCGCAGGCGACUUUCAAAGCCACGUUCCGCUCUACCUUCGCACCGCCCGGUUUCCCGGUCCCGUUCACGCGGAGACCCAGCAUGGAACUGUGGACCCCCGGACCGCACAGCCCGCUCCUGACUUCAACAACGCUCCGUGGCCACCUGGACUGUCGUGGCCAAUGGCC